UACGAAGGGGGCUAGCGUUGUUCGGAAUUACUGGGCGUAAAGCGCACGUAGGCGGAUAUUUAAGUCGGGGGUGAAAUCCCGGGGCUCAACCCCGGAACUGCCUUCGAUACUGGGUAUCUUGAGUUCGGAAGAGGUGAGUGGAAUUGCGAGUGUAGAGGUGAAAUUCGUAGAUAUCGGGAGGAACACCAGUGGCGAAGGCGGCUCUCUGGACAGGUACUGACGCUGAGACGCGAAAAGCGUGGGUAGCAAACAGG
rnacentral:rRNA from 1 species